rnacentral:rRNA from 1 species
UACGUAGGGUCCGAGCGUUAAUCGGAAUUACUGGGCGUAAAGCGUGCGCAGGCGGUUUUGUAAGCCAGAUGUGAAAUCCCCGGGCUCAACCUGGGAACUGCAUUUGGGACUGCAAGGCUGGAGUACGGCAGAGGGAGGUGGAAUUCCACGUGUAGCAGUGAAAUGCGUAGAGAUGUGGAGGAACACCGAUGGCGAAGGCAGCCUUCUGGGCCAACACUGACGCUCAUGCACGAAAGCGUGGGGAGCAAACAGG